UACGUAGGGGGCAAGCGUUAUCCGGAUUUACUGGGUGUAAAGGGAGCGUAGACGGUCCUGCAAGCCAGAUGUGAAAGCCCGGGGCUCAACCCCGGGACUGCAUUUGGAACUGUAAGGCUAGAGUGUCGGAGAGGCAGGCGGAAUUCCUAGUGUAGCGGUGAGAUGCGUAGAUAUUAGGAGGAACACCAGUGGCGAAGGCGGCCUGCUGGACGAUGACUGACGUUGAGGCUCGAAGGCGUGGGGAGCAAACAGG
rnacentral:rRNA from 1 species